CUGCAGUCGAGCGCUGAUUACAGGGUAGCAAUAUUCUGUAGUCGGAGCGGCGCAAGGGUGCGUAACACGUGGGUAAUCUGCCAUGAAGUUUGGAAUAACUCGCUGAAAGGCGAGCUAAUGCCGGAUGUAAAAACUGAGAGGCAUCUCUUGGUUUUCAAAGCUGGGGACCGUAAGGCCUGGCGCUUCAUGAUGAGCCCGCGGCCUAUCAGCUAGUUGGUAAGGUAACGGCUUACCAAGGCUAAGACGGGUAGCUGGUCUGAGGGGACGACCAGCCACACUGGAACUGAGACACGGUCCAGACACCUACGGGUGGCAGCAGUCGAGAAUUUUUCACAAUGGGCGCAAGCCUGAUGGAGCGACGCCGCGUGGGGGAUGAAUGGCUUCGGCCCGUAAACCCCUGUCAUUUGCGAUCAACCGUUACUGUUUAAGAGAUGAUAACCUGAUAGUAGCGAAAGAGGAAGGGACGGCUAACUCUGUGCCAGCAGCCGCGGUAAUACAGAGGUCCCAAGCGUUGUUCGGAUUCACUGGGCGUAAAGGGUGCGUAGGUGGCGGGGUAAGUCGGAUGUGAAAUCUCCGAGCUCAACUCGGAAAUGGCAUUGGAAACUGCUCUGCUCGAGGGUUGGAGGGGGGACUGGAAUACUUGGUGUAGCAGUGAAAUGCGUAGAUAUCAAGUGGAACACCAGUGGCGAAGGCGAGUCCCUGGACAACUCCUGACACUGAGGCACGAAAGCUAGGGGAGCAAACAGGAUUAGAUACCCUGGUAGUCCUAGCCGUAAACGGUGCAUGUUUGCUGUAAAAGGAAUCGACCCCUUUUGUGGCGUAGCCAACGCGUUAAACAUGCCGCCUGGGAAGUACGGUCGCAAGAUUAAAACUCAAAGAAAUUGACGGGGGGCCUGCACAAGCGGUGGAGUAUGUGGCUCAAUUCGAUGCAACGCGAAGAACUUUACCUGGCCUUGACAUGUAUGUAGUAAGAAGGGUGAAAGCCUGACGAGGUAGCAUACCAGCAUACACAGUGCUGCAUGCUGUCGUCAGCUCCGUCUGAGAUGAUAGGUUAGUCCCGCAACGAGCGC
rnacentral:rRNA from 1 species